rnacentral:rRNA from 1 species
GAUGAACGCUAGCUCCAGGCUUAACACAUGCAAGUCGAGGGGAAACGGCAUUAAGUGCUUGCACUUUUUGGACGUCGACCGGCGCACGGGUGAGUAACGCGUAUCCAACCUUCCCAUGACUAAGGGAUAACCUGCCGAAAGGCAGACUAAUACCUUAUGGUCUUCACUGACGGCAUCAGAUGUGAAGUCAAGAUUUAUCGGUUAUGGAUGGGGAUGCGUCUGAUUAGCUUGUUGGCGGGGUAACGGCCCACCAAGGCAACGAUCAGUAGGGGUUCUGAGAGGAAGGUCCCCCACAUUGGAACUGAGACACGGUCCAAACUCCUACGGGAGGCAGCAGUGAGGAAUAUUGGUCAAUGGGCGAGAGCCUGAACCAGCCAAGUAGCGUGCAGGAUGACGGCCCUAUGGGUUGUAAACUGCUUUUGUAUGGGGAUAAAGUCAAUCACGUGUGAUUGUUUGCAGGUACCAGACGAAUAAGGACCGGCUAAUUCCGUG